GCCGGUUUUAUCGCUAGUUGUUGUUGAUAUCGCUGCGCCUCAGCCAGCUAGUCAGCGGAAUGUGGUCAGUUUCGGUUUGCUUGGAUGACGAUCGCGUGCGUAUUUCGCGGCUCUGUUCAUUUAGUCUAUGUGUUUUUAUCGCACUGUUUAAUAUCGACCAUUGAUUAUAUUUCAUUUGUUAUUGGAGUGCAGGGGUGAAUGAAAUGCUACAGUCCGUCGGUAUAUUGCAUUUUUGAGCGGUGUGUGUGUGUGUGUGUGUGUGUGUGUGUGUGUGUGUCUGUGGCGUUCUAACACCGUGAUGUCUUUGGUUCUAUUGUGCCGGAUCGUUGGAUUCAUGGUUGUCGUCACUACUCGUCGCAGUUAAUAAACAAAUAAGUUUAUUACUUAUUUAUAAAGUAUUUGCCGUGCCUUGGAGUCCGAUGUGAUCUGCAUUGUACUUUCUAUGAUUACCUGAUGCACUGGUAAGUUUGUAAACGUUAUUACAUUAUACUUUCAUAUUUAUCUAAAAUUGCAUGUAACGUGAAUACCGUAACAACACAAAAUUGAUGCGUGCCGUCGGAUGCGACUUGGAUCUACCCGCAGAGUAUGGUCAUGUCAAUCAUCGGUUUAAUAACGUGAAAUUUUCCUUGCUUGCAUUUUUAUUUUUAUUUCAUAAAUCUGCCGGCUCUUUAACGUAUUUUCGUAGUUUGGCAAUUAAUUAUUGAGAGUAAUAUAUUUGUAAAAUAUUUGUAAUAUAUUUGUAAAAUGUA